GGAACUCCAACUGAUCUCCUCACUUUUUCCAGCUAGGAGCCAGGAUAGAAGCAGCUCUCUGGCUAGGAAGAAGCUUGGGUCUUUCUGGAGACCAUCGUAUCCCUGUGGAGCCCUGAAUAUCUCUCAAUCAGCUCUCAACAACAGCUCAGAGUCACUAAUGAAUAUUGGGGACUGGGACUUAGAAAAGCAAUCCUCUGAGACCCCCUUUUCAAGGAUCUCUAUUUUCCAUCUCGCUCUCUAAUUUGUUCCUGAACUCCAUUACUCAAGCUAGUUAGUUCAGGAGAAAGGACCAAACCAGCAGCUGGCCAGAGGAGGGGUCAAGAUCAAGAGCCUGAACCCUGAGAUCUUGGGGGGGUCAGUCUGCCAGCUAAUAGGGCUUUCUGCUCACCCACUUUCCUUACCUGACACCCUUACCUCUCCCUUCCCUGUGUGAACCCAAAUAAAGUGUCUACUACUUAGUCAGGUCUGACUAGUUUCUGAGAUUAGGAAAGGGGGCUGAAGAUUUGGGGAGAACCAUACCUCUCCCCAAAAAGGAGGGUCAGCUCAGGAUCCCAGGGCUUCAAACAACCAGACCCAAAGAGCAAUUAUCUCUCCUGGGUUGUGGAGUAAUUCAAGGGUUGGGGGGGGGGAGUGGGAAGUGGCAGUUGGUAUACCUGAAGGAUCCAGAGGCAAAAGAGUCCAUCUUGCCUCUCAACAAUAUCUAGGACCACAGGGGAGGCAGUGUGUCAUCUUAUUAUAGCUUUUCCCUCUAGUUCUUAACCUCCAUCUCCCAGAACCAUUCUCUGAGGAGACAUACUCCUUUCCUCAGGGAGACAAGACUGGGUUACCUUCCCCAAAAGGAAGAGAAGGGAAGGUCAAUCUUCCCCCUCUCCAUUCUCUCAACUCUUUCUCUCUUUCCUUCCAUUUCCACAAUGUGUGUAUUCCCUUCCUGGCCAUAUAUUACAAAGGCAGGAACUUUACUGAACUCUCCCCAAUUCCUCUCCAAAACCUUCCUAAAUCCUCCCACCCCUCAGCACCUCAGCCUUAUUAUUCUGCUAGACACUGCCUAGAAUUUGGGUUCCUAUUUGGAUAUGUCUGCACCAACUUCUACUCCCUGACUUUAAUUGUCAUACUUUUAAGAAAAUUUUCCAAGUUAAUUGAGAACUAAUAAAGGCAGAUUUGAACCACUUGAAUGUAGAGAGGUAGAAAGUCAAUGCAGCUUCAAUAUUUGUGUAAUUUAGAAUUUCUAUCAUGGGUGUAUGUGUAUGCAGUGUGUGUGUGUGUGUGUGUGUGUGUGCGUGUGUGCGUGUGUGUAUCCCCUUCCAAAGGAAAAGCUUUAUUUUUUUUUUUAAAGAAUGUCAAUGUCUGAGGGAGGGAGUUGGAAGAGAUAUAGAGAUAAGACCAGAGUGGUCUUGUGUGACUGUGUUAAGUAUGCUCACUGGAUUACUUAGUCCAAUCAUUCUGUUUAUACCUAUUGGUGGCAUGUGAAGGAGAAAAAAAAAUCCCGAAUGUCUCUGUCAGAGCCAGAAGAAGGAAUUUUUGUUCCUUGAGGCAAGCAUCAAAAAUGUCACUCAGAGCACAGAAAACACUCUUGGUAGGGAGGAGAGGGUAGCCUUUCCCCCACAGGGAGAUACAAAGAACUAUCCCAUAAGCACUAGGAAGCUGCUACUAAAGAGAAAGCUCAUGCCCAAGGAAGCAGACCAUUUGCUUCUUUGAACUCAUAAUUCCUGAUAAGGCAAAAAGGUCAAAUUUUUUCUUUCACACUUGGAAUCUAAGAAAUUUGAUUACUGGGGCUAGAGUAGCAGCUCUUAAAGUCAUCGUUAUCAUAAAGUAUUAAGGAUAUUGAAUAUUAAUGUUCUAUCAGUACAUUCUAUUCUUCCCUGCACCCAGAGAACUAUUUCAAGUGUAGACAAGAACACACUAGAUUCCUGACUCGUUAGCUUUCCUGCCAUUUGUAUCUACUUUCACCUAAGGAUGGGUCAUAUUUUAAACAAAAAUCAAGGUCAUUUGUUGAAACAGGGCAAAUAUUUCCUUCUCUUUUCUUUAUAGGAUUUACAGCUCAACAUAAUCUUAUGGAUCACCUAUUCUCUUUGACAAAGAAAGUCAGUGUCUUGGGCAAGUGGAGAGGCCAAAAUCACACAACUACUGUCUGAAACUGGUCCAGGUUCCAGAUCCAGAAUUUUAAUUCACAUCAUCUGACUCCAAGGUUAUCCUCUGUGUUUAGAAUGCACAGCUUUCCUUCCUCACCUCAACCUCAUGGAAUCUCUAGCUUUCGUUAUAGCUCAGUUCAAACUCUACCUUCUACCAGGAUCCUUUCCUUAUCCAGUUAAAUGCUUAAAAUUUGACUUACUUGGAUCACAUCAUCCACCUCGGCCAUAAUAAUAGGACCAAGGAUACCAAGAUGUUCUUCAUUCUCUCCUCGAGGAUCAAGUACCGAAAA